rnacentral:rRNA from 1 species
ACUCAAAGGAAUUGACGGGGACCCGCACAAGCAGCGGAGCAUGUGGUUUAAUUCGAAGCAACGCGAAGAACCUUACCAAGGCUUGACAUCCCUUGACGCGCAUAGAAAUAUGCGUUCCCUUCGGGGCAAGGAGACAGGUGGUGCAUGGUUGUCGUCAGCUCGUGUCGUGAGAUGUUGGGUUAAGUCCCGCAACGAGCGCAACCCUUAUCAUUAGUUGCCAGCGAGUAAAGUCGGGAACUCUAAUGAGACUGCCGGGGAUAACUCGGAGGAAGGUGGGGACGACGUCAAAUCAUCAUGCCCCUUAUGUCUUGGGCUACACACGUGCUACAAUGGCCGGUACAGAGGGCAGCGAAGCCGCAAGGUGGAGCGAAUCCCAAAAAGCCGGUCUCAGUUCGGAUCGUGGGCUGCAACCCGCCCACGUGAAGCCGGAGUUGCUAGUAAUCGCGAAUCAGCAUGUCGCGGUGAAUGCGUUCCCGGGUCUUGUACACACCGCCCGU